rnacentral:rRNA from 1 species
CGAAUGCUGACAUAAGUAACGAUAAAGCGGGUGAAAAGCCCGCUCGCCGGAAGACCAAGGGUUCCUGUCCAACGUUAAUCGGGGCAGGGUGAGUCGACCCCUAAGGCGAGGCCGAAAGGCGUAGUCGAUGGGAAACAGGUUAAUAUUCCUGUACUUGGUGUUACUGCGAAGGGGGGACGGAGAAGGCUAUGUUGGCCGGGCGACGGUUGUCCCGGUUUAAGCGUGUAGGCUGGUUUUCCAGGCAAAUCCGGAAAAUCAAGGCUGAGGCGUGAUGACGAGGCACUACGGUGCUGAAGCAACAAAUGCCCUGCUUCCAGGAAAAGCCUCUAAGCAUCAGGUAACAUCAAAUCGUACCCCAAACCGACACAGGUGGUCAGGUAGAGAAUACCAAGGCGCUUGAGAGAACUCGGGUGAAGGAACUAGGCAAAAUGGUGCCGUAACUUCGGGAGAAGGCACGCUGAUAUGUAGGUGAAGUCCCUCGCGGAUGGAGCUGAAAUCAGUCGAAGAUACCAGCUGGCUGCAACUGUUUAUUAAAAACACAGCACUGUGCAAACACGAAAGUGGACGUAUACGGUGUGACGCCUGCCCGGUGCCGGAAGGUUAAUUGAUGGGGUCAGCGCAAGCGAAGCUCUUGAUCGAAGCCCCGGUAAACGGCGGCCGUAACUAUAACGGUCCUAAGGUAGCGAAAUUCCUUGUCGGGUAAGUUCCGACCUGCACGAAUGGCGUAAUGAUGGCCAGGCUGUCUCCACCCGAGACUCAGUGAAAUUGAACUCGCUGUGAAGAUGCAGUGUACCCGCGGCAAGACGGAAAGACCCCGUGAACCUUUACUAUAGCUUGACACUGAACAUUGAGCCUUGAUGUGUAGGAUAGGUGGGAGGCUUUGAAGUGUGGACGCCAGUCUGCAUGGAGCCGACCUUGAAAUACCACCCUUUAAUGUUUGAUGUUCUAACGUGGACCCGUGAUCCGGGUUGCGGACAGUGUCUGGUGGGUAGUUUGACUGGGGCGGUCUCCUCCUAAAGAGUAACGGAGGAGCACGAAGGUUGGCUAAUCCUGGUCGGACAUCAGGAGGUUAGUGCAAUGGCAUAAGCCAGCUUGACUGCGAGCGUGACGGCGCGAGCAGGUGCGAAAGCAGGUCAUAGUGAUCCGGUGGUUCUGAAUGGAAGGGCCAUCGCUCAACGGAUAAAAGGUACUCCGGGGAUAACAGGCUGAUACCGCCCAAGAGUUCAUAUCGACGGCGGUGUUUGGCACCUCGAUGUCGGCUCAUCACAUCCUGGGGCUGAAGUAGGUCCCAAGGGUAUGGCUGUUCGCCAUUUAAAGUGGUACGCGAGCUGGGUUUAGAACGUCGUGAGACAGUUCGGUCCCUAUCUGCCGUGGGCGCUGGAGAACUGAGGGGGGCUGCUCCUAGUACGAGAGGACCGGAGUGGACGCAUCACUGGUGUUCGGGUUGUCAUGCCAAUGGCACUGCCCGGUAGCUAAAUGCGGAAGAGAUAAGUGCUGAAAGCAUCUAAGCACGAAACUUGCCCCGAGAUGAG